GACUGUUUACCAAAAACAUAGCUAUCAGAAAAAAUUAAUGGUAGUGAAACCUGCUCCAUGAUUUCCGCUCCCCAUAAAAAGAUAAUAAUAUAAAAAAAAUUAAAUAGCUGCGGUAACCGUGACCGUACUAAGGUAGCAUAAUAAAUCGUCUAUUAAUUGUAGAAUAGAAUGAAGGUCAAACGAAAAUUCAACUGUCUCAAAAAAAUACUUGUGAAAAUAAAAAGUGUGUAAAUAUACACACACAAACGGCAAGACGAUAAGACCCUACGAACUUUACCAAAAAUUUACAUUUCAUAAAAAUAAGAAAAAUAAUAAUGUAAAUAAUACGUUUCGUUGGGGCAACGACCUUAAAAAAGUAACUAAGGCUAAAAAAAUCAAAAAAAUAAGAUUAAUAAAUCAAAAAAAACCGAUAAAACCCAUUACACACACUCCCACAAAUUAAUGCAAAAAAAUAAAAGUUCCGUAGGGAUAACAGCGUAAUAUUAUUUCAAGAAAACUAAUCUCAAAUAAAGAUUGCGACCU
rnacentral:rRNA from 1 species